GGAAUAUCAUCAUCACUAUGAUUGCCUCUAGGGCAUACCUCCAACAGUCUCCCACUUGCACUAGAGUCAAUCUAGAAGGUACCUAAUACCCAUAGCUCUUACAUGCGCAUCAUGCUUAGCCUGCGGGAGUGGUUUUGUCAACGGAUCAGAAAUGUUCAGAUCCGUGUGUAUUUUGCAUAUCUUGAUCUCACCCCGGUUAACGAAGUCUCGAAUGAGAUGAAAUCGCC
rnacentral:lncRNA from 1 species